GUGGGGAAUUUUGGACAAUGGGCGCAAGCCUGAUCCAGCAAUGCCGCGUGCAGGAAGAAGGCCUUCGGGUUGUAAACUGCUUUUGUACGGAACGAAACGGUCCGGGUUAAUACCCUGGGCUAAUGACGGUACCGUAAGAAUAAGCACCGGCUAACUACGUGCCAGCAGCCGCGGUAAUACGUAGGGUGCAAGCGUUAAUCGGAAUUACUGGGCGUAAAGCGUGCGCAGUCGGUUUUGUAAGACAGGCGUGAAAUCCCCGGGCUCAACCUGGGAAUUGCGCUUGUGACUGCAAGGCUGGAGUGCGGCAGAGGGGGAUGGAAUUCCGCGUGUAGCAGUGAAAUGCGUAGAUAUGCGGAGGAACACCGAUGGCGAAGGCAAUCCCCUGGGCCUGCACUGACGCUCAUGCACGAAAGCGUGGGGAGCAAACAGGAUUAGAAACCCCGGUAGUCC
rnacentral:rRNA from 1 species